AAAGAAAAGUUUGUGAACAAAAAUUAGCCUCGUUUCUUGCAAAAAGGUACAAAGCUUCCUUUGGAGAAAAUUGCAAUACUAUAAUAGCUGGAUAUUUCCUAGCAGCAAAAUUUCAUCUCGAAUGAUGUUUUUGGGCCUCAAAAUUUACAGUGAGUUGAAAAGCAGUUAUCUUUGGAAGAUGAAAAAAGGUGGCAGCCGUCAGUUUCCAUGAGAAAGUACUUGUCACCAAGUCGAUCAUUUGCGACAUCGAAGGUACUGCAUGUUCCACCAGCUUCAUAACGGACGUUCUGUAUCCCUUCGUGCUGAAAAGUUUUGUAUCGUCUUGAACUAUAGUGAUCGAAAUUUACUAUGUGGCUGUGUAACUCCAGAAGCGGAACUCCAGAAGCACCAUCUGUUAAAUCAUGAGAGAAGUUACACCGGAAAGCAUCCGUUCCUAUGCAACGUUUGUGGUAAAGGAUUCAAGCGUGAACAAAAUUUCAAAAUGCAUCUCAAAAUCCAUGAAGGUGUUCGAACACACGUUUGUUCUGCAUAUGACCAACCAUAAAAACAUUCGCACUUUUCAGUGUGAACAAUGUGGCAAGAGUUUUAUUCAGCGUACCUCGUUGCUGGCGCAUUUGAAAGGGCAUGGUUGCAUCGAUGUGAGCCUUGCAACACAACCUUCAUUUCAUCCCAGAAAUUCACGGAUGACAAUUUAACCCUUUAUAAGGCCGUGAAAUUUGAGCAAGGAAUCAAUACAUAUUAUAAUAGAAAUCAAAGUUUACAUCAUUAAAUACCCCUACGAAUUUUUUUCGCUAGAGAAAAUAAUAAUCUUGGUGGCAAUAUAGUUGCCACUGCCCGCGAAGCCCAAAAACAUUUAUGCAUAAUUGCCCCUAUCAGAUUCGAGAAUGUCCAUUAAUUAUACAUACAAAAAUUUGCCGCAUUAUCAUCGAUUAGAUUUUGUGAUAUUUAAAAUGUCGUAUGGAUUUUUGAAAAAAUGGAUUGCAUAGUGUUCGAUUGGGCAUCUGCCACUGCGAUCAGUAUGACAUAAUUGUUUAGUAUCCGCUGUUUUUUUUUCAAUGCAAAGAAAUGUCUAGUAAAAUUUAUGAAAUGGCUAAUUUUGUUUUUCAUUUUAACAGAAGUAUGUGCAUGAGAACAUCAAAAGAUAUUUUCUCAUAGUGACAAAUAUACACCUAGAUGUGUCGUAUAAAUAAGAACAGUAUGAGUAUAAUUCAUCGGUAAACAAAAUAACUAACAGAAUCAAUAAAAAUUGUUGGUGGCAAUAUAGUUGCCACUGCCCGCGAAGCCCAAAAACAUUGGUGGCAAUAUAUUUGCCACUGCCUUAGAGGUACGAAAACAUAUUUCUAAGCAAUCAAAAAGGCUCUUCUUAACUGUCGUCCGUUGAUGAUAAAAACGAGUGCUACUGAAUCGGUGUUUGCUGCCUUAAGUACCUUGAUUCUUAAAAAGGGAAGUAAAAAAGUAUUCGGAGACUAAUCAAGUGAUAAUGUCGGGUUAAGUGACUCAUUAGUGGCUUUUUUUAAGGAAGUUCAGGACAAAAAUAUAGGUUUUUUCCAUAAGUGCGCGGUAAUAUCAGACAGUUUCCCUGGCAGCCAACAGUAGAGCAAGGAAACAACGCAAUUAGUAUCAGAUAUAAAGACCUUCUUGACUACAAACUUUGAAAUAACAAUAAUCGAAUUUGACAUGAAAAAUAAAUCUUGUUAACGUCUGUCUCUACGUGACUUUAUUGCGCAAAUAAUUAUUAUUCAUUCAAUAACGUUAUCACAGCGAGAGCACAAUAUCUUGGAUAGCAUCAACGUUGGUUUGCCCCCAACAUAAACAGCUUUAUUCUGUAUUACGAUGGAAUCGACUCGGGAUUGUCGGAUAAAUUGCAGCUAAUAUUGUAACCCUUAAGUGAUGACAGCGACAUAAUGUUGAGGUGGUGGGUUUAGUAACUAAUUUCAAACUUACGCCACCCCGAAGUUUAGCUCCCGUAGACGGGGUUCAAAUGCUGAUUAUCUCUCUGAUUAGAGCUUAAUCAUACGAUAUAAGUAGACCAAUCAGAGCAGGGCACGUGCGUAACUCAAUAGUAUCGUGUGAGAAGUUCAGAACCUGAAAGGGGUGCUUGCCGACGCGAUAUACACUCCAAGAUCACUUAACGGUGAAACCCUGCGAAGGUCGGAUAGUGUUCGAGUUAGUGUGGCUAGCAGCCGAAGAAAUAAGUAAUGCACAAGCAGCAAUUCAUGUAACUCGAGAAUUGACCAAAAUAUUUUAGGAUAUUCGUCACGACGAGACAGUAGCGCACAUAAAAGUUUAAAGAACAGUCAAUGCUGUUCCAGAUAGAACCUUCAGGCGAAGGUUUUUUUUUCUAGUCAAAAAAGCGGAAAAGUCCCUCCGAUCCACAUCGUGCACGUGUCGAUCAUCCUCAUCAGCCGCCGUUGGUCGGCAUCACGGACCUCGCUGAUUCGAGUAACGCUCCUGCCGCCAUAGUACGCCGUCGAACUCCGGAACCCGUCGAAGAGCGAAAAAACGGUGUGGGACGCUCCUUGGUGACGACCAAGUCGAAGCAUAGAAUCCCGGGCUCGAAUAGCAGUACCUGAAUAGUACUUGGACCGACUAGCAACAUAAACGGCGGAAACAAACAGGUCAAAUCCAACUAGAAAUAAGUGAAAGGGUUAAAUUAUGUCUAGCCAAAAGAAAAUAAACCGUC